AAAAGAAAACAGCCAUAGCAAAGUGACCUCUCAAAUUAGGUGGGAGGCCAUACUCAGUGCAGAGGCAGUUGAGCUUCCACUCCGGCAUGAGUUUGCUGCCUCCACCACCGUCUCCGGCGGCUCUGACAAUCGUUGGUUUCUGCAGUGAAGACUGGAAGUUGCGGGCAGGCCUAUCUUUGCCGUGCUGCUGGACCUUCACGUUCAAGGCAGAGCCAACUUUCGCCGCUGCCUGCCCAGCUGAAGCCAUCCCCUGCUCGAG
rnacentral:misc_RNA from 1 species